AGGAUGAACACUGGCGGCGUGCCUAACACAUGCAAGUCGAACGUCCUGUCUCGCAAGAGGCAGGGAGUGGCGGACGGGUGAGUACCACGUGGGUCAUCUACCGUGAGGUGAGGAAUACCGGCGAGAAAUCGCCGACAAGACCGCAUAGGCUCGAUGCAAGUCGAGCAAAGCUCUUUCGAGAGAGGGAGCGCCACACGAGGAGCCUGCGCCCGAUUAGCUAGCUGGUGGAGUAACGGUUCACCAGGGCGACGAUCGGUAGCUGGUCUGAGAGGACGAUCAGCCACACUGGGAUUGAGAACGGCCCAGACUCCUACGGGGGGCAGCAGUGAGGAAUUUUCGUCAAUGGGGGCAACCCUGAACGAGCAACGCCGCGUGCAGGAAGAAGGUUUUCGGAUCGUAAACUGCUUUUCUCGGGGAAGAGAACGGACGGUACCCGAGGAAUCAGCCCCGGCUAACUACGUGCCAGCAGCCGCGGU
rnacentral:rRNA from 1 species